rnacentral:tRNA from 1 species
GCUAGCGUGGCAGAGCUUGGCAAAUGCAAAAGGCUUAAGCCCUUUAUUCAGAGGUUCAAAUCCUCUCUCUAGCC